UUGGUGGGUGGGGGAAGGGUGGGCAGGGCAGGGCCACAGGGGGUUAAUAUAAGUUUUUUUUUUAAUUUAACGGGAAAGGGUAAAAUGGUAAGUGUGGGUAUUUUUUUAAGUUUUUAUUUUAGUGGGUAAUUUUUAAGUUACUAAAAGAAAUUGGCUAUUUUCAAAAUCCACUCUAUAAAAAAGUUGUAAAAUUUUAACAAAGUGAAAGAAAAUAAAACAUUUUAAAAUUUUAAUAACCUAUUCGUUUUAAAUUCAUUUUUGAUGAUUUGCACACCAUAUUAAAGAUUUUGUUACGAACUUAAACUUAAGAUGCAU
rnacentral:lncRNA from 1 species